rnacentral:rRNA from 1 species
AUUGAACGCUGGCGGCAGGCCUAACACAUGCAAGUCGAACGAGUGGCGGACGGGUGAGUAAUGUCUGGGAAACUGCCCGAUGGAGGGGGAUAACUACUGGAAACGGUAGCUAAUACCGCAUACAAUCGGAUGUGCCCAGAUGGGAUUAGUUAGUAGGGGGGGUAAGGGCUCACCUGGGCGACGAUCCCUAGCUGGGCUGAGAGGAUGACCAGCCACACGGGAUCGUAGCCACGGUCCAUACUCCUACGAGAGGCAUCAGUGGGAAAUAUUGCACAAGGGGCGCAAGCCUGAUGCAGCCAUGCCGCGUGAAUGAAGAAGGCCUUCGGGUUGUAAAGUACUUUCAGCGAGGAGGCGUUACUCGCAGAAGAAGCACCGGCUAACUCCGUGCCAGCAGCCGCGGUAAUAC